AUACGUAGGGAGCGAGCGUUGUCCGGAAUUACUGGGCGUAAAGGGCGCGUAGGCGGCGCUUCAAGUCGUCUGUCAAAUGGGAGGGCUUAACCCUUUUUCGCAGACGAAACUGGAGAGCUUGAGAAGCAGAGAGGCAAACAGAAUUCCUGGUGUAGCGGUGAAAUGCGUAGAUAUCAGGAAGAAUACCAGUGGCGAAGGCGGUUUGCUGGCUGCAUACUGACGCUGAAGCGCGAAAGCCAGGGGAGCAAACGGGAUUAGAUACCCCGGUAGUCCUGGCAGUAAACGAUGUAUGCUGGGUGUGAGACUAGCGAUAGUUUCGUGCCGAAGUUAACGCGAUAAGCAUACCGCCUGGGGAGUACGGUCGCAAGAUUGAAACUCAAAUGAAUGGACGGGG
rnacentral:rRNA from 1 species